rnacentral:lncRNA from 1 species
CAGGAUUUCUCUGUGUAGCCUUGGCUGUCCUGAAACUCGCCCUGCAGACCAGGCUGGCCUCAAACUCAAGAGAUCGUCCUCUCUCUGCCUCCUGAGUGCUGGGAUUAAAGGGUCCUGGAAGUCCUGUCUGUACCUUCUGACCAGCAGUUGGCCCAUGACUUUCUUUACUGACAGACAAGAACCAAUUGUGGAACAGGACAUUAAUAUCAGAACCACCCCUACAAAGGAUGAACAUUGUUCGGCUCUUAUCCCUCAGCAUAUGGAAUGGAAAUUAUCUUUCUGCUGCAGGUUUCGGGUAGCCCAAGGUGACCAUGGGUACUGUAGCCCAUGACAUUGUAGCAUUCACCCAAGCUGGGGCACUUCCUCACUCUGAAGGGCAGGGCUGGGUUUAUUUCUUAUUCAGCUUCAAAGGUCAUAUUAAGAUUAUUGCCCAGAGCUCAGUAUUAUUGCCACCUCGCCCAACUCUACUAACUCCUACCUGCACAAAAUAUCUUUGGUACUUCUCCUGGCUCCUGCUUCCUAGCCUCCUCUGGGUUUUGUUCUUCUGCAAAAGCUUUGCAUGGGCACAGUGAUGAGCACCAGCUACAGGCACCUCUACUGACUGGUCAUUUGGAGGCAGUUAUGUGGUCGGCCUUGUUUCUCAGAGGUCUUCAUUGGUUUUCCCCAGUCUUAACUUGUCAUGGUGACCUACCCUUUUGGUAACUGAGAGCCUGAGAAGAUGUGACUGGUGGUGAAUCAUCCAAGCCAAGAAUCAUGGCGAAUGAACACAGACUUCUCAACACAUGGUACCUUUGGUGAGCCCUGUCCCCACAGAGCCCCGUGAGGCUUUCAGAGAUUCCAAAGACACAGUAAAAUGAGAUAACGUCAAGACAGUAAUGUUUUAAAGAUGUGAUGGGACUUGAGAGAGUCAUUAACUUCCAUAUUGAGUGGUUGGUGAUCAUUUAAUUUUGUCUAACCUGAGGAAUUUAUAGCCAUUAUAAGUGGACUGUUAGGUUGUGCUCCCUAAAGCUGGUAGUUUGAACUGUUCAGGUUAAAUUAUUAAUGAGAAGCCAUAUUUAUAGAGGGAUGAGGUUGUAAAAUCAGGGUUUCUGGAGUGUUUA